UACGUAGGGGGCAAGCGUUGUCCGGAGUUACUGGGCGUAAAGCGCACGCAGGCGGUCUCUUAAGUUUGGAGUGACAGUUGGUGGCUUAACUGCCAAAGUGCUUCGAAAACUGAGAGACUUGAGGGCUUCAGAGGGACACGGAAUUCCGGGUGGAGUGGUGAAAUGCGUAGAGAUCCGGAGGAACACCAAAGGCGAAAGGCAGUGUCCUGGGGAGUACCUGACGCUCAGGUGCGAAAGCCAGGGGAGCGAACGGG
rnacentral:rRNA from 1 species